rnacentral:rRNA from 1 species
GGUCCAUCCUGCCCAGUGAUCAAUUCAACGGCCGCGGUACCCUAACCGUGCAAAGGUAGCAUAAUCAUUUGCCUAUUAAUUGUAGGCUAGUAUGAACGGACAAACGAAAUUCUAACUGUGUCAUUAAUAUUCAUAAAAAUUAGACUUUAGGUGAAGAUACCUAAAUUUUCUUGAAAGACAAGAAGACCCUAUAAAGUUUUAGUAAAAAAUUUUUACCCUAACUCCUAUUACUUUGGUUGGGGCGACCUAGGAUUAUCAAAAACAUCCUUUUAAAAUAAGAAUUAUUAUUCUCCACAAAGACCCUGAAAUUCAGAUUCCUAAAACCAACUACCUUAGGGAUAACAGGCUUAUCUUCCUAAAGAGUUCAAAUUGACAGGAAGGUCUGGCACCUCGAUGUUGGCUUAGAGUAACCCUUUAAUGCAAAAGUUAAAUAAGGUCGGUUUGUUCAACCGUUAAAUCUCUACAUGAUCUGAGUUCAGACCGGAGCCGCUAUUAAAGGUUCGUUUGUUCAACGAUUAAAGUCCUACGUGAUCUGAGUUCAGACCGGAG